rnacentral:rRNA from 1 species
GACGAACGCUGGCGGCGUGCCUAAUACAUGCAAGUAGAACGCUGAAGGAGGAGCUUGCUUCUCUGGAUGAGUUGCGAACGGGUGAGUAACGCGUAGGUAACCUGCCUGGUAGCGGGGGAUAACUAUUGGAAACGAUAGCUAAUACCGCAUAAGAGUAGAUGUUGCAUGACAUUUGCUUAAAAGGUGCAAUUGCAUCACUACCAGAUGGACCUGCGUUGUAUUAGCUAGUUGGUGGGGUAACGGCUUACCAAGGCGACGAUACAUAGCCGACCUGAGAGGGUGAUCGGCCAAACUGGGACUGAGACACGGCCCAGACUCCUACGGGAGGCAGCAGUAGGGAAUCUUCGGCAAUGGACGGAAGUCUGACCGAGCAACGCCGCGGGAGUGAAGAAGGUUUUCGGAUCGUAAAGCUCUGUUGUAAGAGAAGAACGAGUGUGAGAGUGGAAAGUUCACACUGUGACGGUAUCUUACCAGAAAGGGACGGCUAACUACGUG